ACAGAGGUGGCAAGCGUUGUUCGGAAUUACUGGGCGUAAAGGGCGCGUAGGCGGCCUUCUAAGUCAGACGUGAAAUCCCCAGGCUUAACUUGGGAACUGCGUCUGAUACUGGGAGGCUUGAGUGCGGGAGAGGGAUGUGGAAUUCCAGGUGUAGCGGUGAAAUGCGUAGAUAUCUGGAGGAACACCGGUGGCGAAGGCGACGUCUUGGACCGGCAUUGACGCUGAGGCGCGAAAGCCAGGGGAGCAAACGGGA
rnacentral:rRNA from 1 species